GACGAACGCUGGCGGCGUGCUUAACACAUGCAAGUCGAGCGGAAAGGCCUCUUCGGGGGUACUCGAGCGGCGAACGGGUGAGUAGCACGUGAGUAAUCUGCCUCUGGCUUCGGGAUAGCCACCGGAAACGGUGAUUAAUACCGGAUAUGACGCAUCACUGCAUGGUGUGUGCGUGGAAAGUUUUUUCGGCCAGGGAUGUGCUCGCGGCCUAUCAGCUUGUUGGUGGGGUAAUGGCCUACCAAGGCUUCGACGGGUAGCCGGCCUGAGAGGGUGACCGGCCACACUGGGACUGAGACACGGCCCAGACUCCUACGGGAGGCAGCAGUGGGGAAUAUUGGACAAUGGGCGGAAGCCUGAUCCAGCAACGCCGCGUGAGGGAUGACGGCCUUCGGGUUGUAAACCUCUUUCAGCACAGACGAAGCGCAAGUGACGGUAUGUGCAGAAGAAGGACCGGCCAACUACGUGCCAGCCGCCGCUGUAAAAC
rnacentral:rRNA from 1 species